UUUAUAUUUGGGUAAAACUGUCGAAAGGCAGCGACACAAAGCCAAAUGGGUCUAAGGUUCAUUUUUUAAGAGAAUUAUGACAGCCGGUUGCAUCA
rfam:Eubacterium hallii CAG:12 genomic scaffold, scf176